rnacentral:lncRNA from 1 species
GUGAAACAAAGAUUUUUUUCUAUUUAAAUUUGGGCUGAGCACAAGGAUUUCAUCACUCUUUAUUAACUGGCUUUCGAACUUUGCCCACGAAUGUAUUAGGAAUCUCUUUGUGGCAGAUUAGUUUGGGAAAUAACUCAAGCAACAAAGAGAAGAGAAAUGAGAGACCAGGGAGACCAACCGUCCCUUAUCUGCAAUUCCAAAGGAGCCACAUACCAAGGAACUUUGGGAACUGGAAAGGACUUCAGAGAAUAUGAAGUGUGGAGACUUGACAGUGGUAGCAGAGAUCCAGGAUGCCAAGAAAGGAAUCUCAGCAGAAAAUAUGGCAGUUCAGAACAGGGCGAAGAGCUGAUUACAAGAGCAAGAUGUGUAGGAACCAGUGCCUUCUGGUAUGUUGAUGGAACUACUGCUGUGAUGAUCAUCAGUGCUAAUGAUCCAUCAUGGGAAUGUUAUCGUGACACUUGGCCCAAUUUACGUGGAUCCUUUUGUUGACUUCUGCUUGGUAACCAGGGUGCCACUGUCCAGGCCUGCCCCUCACAUUUGUGGGGCAAGGCCAAGAGUGCAAAUGGAGGCCUACGUAGUUAAACGUUACAAAUUCAACUGACAACCAAAUUUAAUAGCAAUGUGAAUUAUUUAAUAUUGCAAAAUGUUCCUUAGCCACCAUAGAUAUACAACUGCUGUGAAAGCAGCACUGAUCAAUGAGAGCAUCCAGAAGCACACAUUGGAACACGAAGAGAAGCAAGAAAGUGGAUGCCGGCACAGCUGGGAAUUUUAUUGUUAUUCAAGAAUCUAUUGCAUUCCUGGUCUCUGAGAGGAAGGAUUGGAUAAGUUAAUCUGUCUUUUCUUGAUCUGAGCACACUGCCCACCUCCGAUGCCGCACCUUCACAGCAGUCAGACAGUCCACCUUUGUUUGAGGCUUCAGAGCAAAAGGUUUGGAGGUGGGUUUCCUGGGCUCUAAAUGGUGCUCACCAAGAGGCUGGAUGUUUAGGUUUUGUGUAUGUAAUAUGUGGGGUGCUCGAAAGCAUGGGGUCCCGUUGUUGGGUCAGCAUUGUUUUAUUUCAUUUUGUUUUAUCUUUGGAUCUUAGAUCCAGAUAUUUUAGUUCAGCUUACUCCUCACUUCAUGAUACAAAAGUGCUAGUACCUGGAUUUAUUUACUAUAUCUGGUCUCAUCGUCAUUAUUACUUUUAGUCUAAUAUCUCAUUCAAGUUCUCUUCCUAAAAUUUACAAUGAAGAAAAUAAUAACCGCCUAUGUUUCUAGCUUUCUCUUUGUAGAUUGCUUGAAACACAGGAUGCUUCUAGCAAAUUCAGAUUCAAACUUAGUGAAAUCUGAUUUAUUUUACAAUGUUAAUAUAGGUUCCAUCUGGGGAGUAGCAGUGCAAGGAGAAAGAGGAGAAACUUUAAUUUUCACUGUAUAUACUUGUGUAUUGCUGUAAUAUUUUUUAUCAAGCAUUUACUACCUUUGUAAUAA